CCUCCUUAUCAGCAGUGAGAGUUGAUAGUCUUCUACUCGUGUUCUGAAACCUUCUCUGCAAAUUGAUUAGAAAUAAGACGUACCCAAUUAACAAGAUUAUGUGCAUUGAAAGAAAAGCUAUCCUUUUGAUGAUUUAUGGGAAAUGAGUGUGUGUGUGUAUGGGGAGUACAACGAAAACAAGAAGAAACUAAUCUCCGCAUGAGAUUUUGGAUGUGCAGAAAUCCAUGUUGGAACUUGCUUGAGCCAGCCAAGUGUCCAAUGAGGAACUUGGGUUUUAUGAACACUAAGUCCCUACCAAUCCCAACAGUAUGUCUGAAUCUCUGAGUUCCCAUAAGAAGAAAGAUUCUUCUCAAAAUAAAUCACUAAUAAGGGAAAUUUGGUGACUGAUUGAAGCUAAGGAAGAUAACCUCAUUUCUACUUCUGUAAGGAGGAAAAUACCCUCUCUGCCAAAGAUCCAGAGCUCAGUACCUGCACAGAUGUUCUUAUGGCCCAAGGAAAUCCUUCUCCACAUCUCUUGCCCUAUUACCUUGAAAGAAAAAGUGGCUGCCCCAAAUCCCCAAACGCCAUGAACAUUGAAGGAUGGUGCCCCUGUCCAUGUUGCAUUUGGAUGCCUCUUUGGAGUAUCAGGAGGAUUUGAGCAGUGGAAGCUCUUAAGAAAGAAAAUACAAAUUAUUUUAAGAAGAAAACAACCCCAUCAAAAAGUGGGUGAAGGAUAUGAACAGACACUUCUCAAAAGAAGACAUUUAUGCAGCCAAAAGACACAUGAAAAAAUGCUCA
rnacentral:lncRNA from 10 species